GCCCGACUCAGAAACUACAAAGGAAUUGACGGGGGCCCGACACAAGCGGUGGAGUAUGUGGUUUAAUUCGAUGAUACGCGAGGAACCUUACCUGGGCUCGAACGUAAGAUGACUGUAGGUGAAAGCUUACAUCUCUUCGGAGCAUUUUACGAGGUGCUGCAUGGUUGUCGUCAGCUCGUGCCGUGAGGUGUCGGGUUAAGUCCCAUAACGAGCGCAACCCCUACCUUUAGUUGCCAUCAGGUUAAGCUGGGGACUCUAAAGGAACUGCCUACGCAAGUAGUGAGGAAGGCGGGGAUGACGUCAAAUCAGCACGGCCCUUACGUCCAGGGCUACACACGUGCUACAAUGGCCGGCACAACGGGAAGCGAGUUCGCGAGGACGAGCGGAUCCCUCAAAGCCGGUCGCAGUUCGGAUUGAAGUCUGCAACUCGACUUCAUGAAGCUGGAAUCGCUAGUAAUCGUGGAUCAGCCAAGCCGCGGUGAAUACGUUCCCGGGCCUU
rnacentral:rRNA from 1 species